CCCAGAAGCAUAAACCUUGUGAUAUUUCCUUAAUUUCUCCUAUCACUUCCUUCCAUUCAUUAGAGAAAUCAAAAAUGUUACUAAACCUUGUGUCCUUACUAGUAGUCCUCAAAGGAGUCCAGUCUCAAGUGCAGUUGGUGGAGUCUGGAGGGGAUGUGAGAAGCCCUGGAGGGUCCCUCCGUCUCUCCUGCCAAGCCUCAGGAUUCACCUUCAGCAACUAUUGGAUGGGCUGGGUGAGACAGGCUCCUGGAAAAGGACUGGAAUGGGUUGCAAGCAUGGCUACAUCUAGCAUUUACUACUCAGACAAAGUGAAGGGACGCUUCACCAUCUCCAGGGAUGAUGCCAAAAGCCAGCUGUAUCUGCAAAUGAGCAGCCUCAAAGCUGAAGACACAGCAGUCUAUUACUGUGCAAGACACACAGUGAAAGGAAGUGAAUCUGAAGCCAGGCAAGAACCUUCCUUUCUUCAGAGCAGUUCUUCAAUUUGA